GACGAACGCUGGCGGCGUGCCUAAUACAUGCAAGUCGAGCGGACUUAAAAAGCUUGCUUUUUAAGUUAGCGGCGGACGGGUGAGUAACACGUGGGCAACCUGCCUGUAAGACUUGGAUAACUUCUGGAAACCGGAGCUAAUACCGGAGAAUCCUUUUCUACUCAUGUAGAAAGGCUGAAAGACGGUUUACGCUGUCACUUACAGAUGGGCCCGCGGCGCAUGAGCUAGUUGGUGAGGUAACGGCUCACCAAGGCGACGAGGCGUAGACGACCUGUGAGGGGGAUAGGCCACACUGGGACGGAGACACGGCCCAGACUCCUACGGGAGGCAGCAGUCGGGAAUCUUACGCAAUGGACGAGAAUCUGACGGAGCAAGGCGGCGUGAGUGAUGAAGGUGUUCGGAUCGUAAAACUCUGUUGUUAGGGAAGAACCAGUACGAGAGUAACUGAUCGUACCUUGACGGUAACUAACAAGAAAGCAACGGCUAACUACGUG
rnacentral:rRNA from 1 species